UGAUAAUUUUAUUAUGAAGCGUACGUACGUACGAUGCCGUGAGUAGGCAAGGUUAUGUCAUUGUUCGCUAUGUCACUCGACGAAAAAUGAUCGUCGUCUCUCUCUCUCUCUCUCUAUCGUAUCUCUAUCUCUUGAGAAUUACUCGACGUCACGUUCAUAAUUCUCUCAAGCCGCUAUCCGCAGUUGAUGUUGAAAAUUUACGCGGAUUUGACACUGCGUCAUAGUCGUCGUCCGCGUCGUCGCUUCUGUUUUUGUUUCGUUUAUUAUCGGGGGCAGGAUCGUAUAAUUUUUUUCCAUUCCGCGACGAGGUUUUUUGCCGAUCCGCAGCGCAACCAUGAGAGUUUUGCAGCCGUCGUAAAUACAUUUGUGCUCUCCGUGCAACAAAGAGUUCACGCGAGAAAUGUUUCGUUGUCGUGAAUUAAGAGACACAUAAACCUUGUCACGUCUUUCCGGAGUCGCAAUUUAGGCUGGCAUUUUUGCGGCAGAGAGAUUAUUUUUCGGACAUAUUUACAGGUUCAAAACAAUCGAGCUCGGCCAUCAUAUAUACGGCAACAGCCAAGCCUAUUAUAAAAAUGUAAAGAGAAACUGCGUAAGUAAAGUACCGCGCAUGAGGAUGCGUGCAAGGUGCAGAAAGCCAUCAUACCGAUCGUCCCGAAAAACCAAUUACUCUUUCACCGGCUCGUUCCUUGUAAUGAGGCUUUGAAACAACUGCAUAGAAUUCAACGAGCUGACCUCGGCAGAAGCAGCAGCAGCAGCAUCAUCAUUACCUAUCGGC